GAAGCCCAGCUUGCUGGGCGGAUUAGUGGCGAACGGGUGAGUAAUACGUGAGUAACCUGCCUUUAACUCUGGGAUAAGCCUUGGAAACGGGGUCUAAUACCGGAUACGACCAACCCUCGCAUGAGGUGUUGGUGGAAAGGGAUUUUGUACUGGUUUUAGAUGGGCUCACGGCCUAUCAGCUUGUUGGUGAGGUAACGGCUCACCAAGGCGACGACGGGUAGCCGGCCUGAGAGGGUGACCGGCCACACUGGGACUGAGACACGGCCCAGACUCCUACGGGAGGCAGCAGUGGGGAAUAUUGCACAAUGGGCGCAAGCCUGAUGCAGCGACGCCGCGUGGAGGGAUGACGGCCUUCGGGUUGUAAACCUCUUUCAGCAGGGGAGAAGCGAAAGUGACGGUACCUGCAGAAGAAGCGCCGGCUAACUACGUGCCAGCAGCCGCGGUAAUACGUAGGGCGCGAGCGUUGUCCGGAAUUAUUGGGCGUAAAGAGCUUGUAGGCGGUUUGUCGCGUCUGCUGUGAAAGCCCGGGGCUUAACCCCGGGUUUGCAGUGGGUACGGGCAGACUAGAGUGCAGUAGGGGAGACUGGAAUUCCUGGUGUAGCGGUGAAAUGCGCAGAUAUCAGGAGGAACACCAAUGGCGAAGGCAGGUCUCUGGGCUGUAACUGACGCUGAGAAGCGAAAGCAUGGGGAGCAAACAGGAUUAGAUACCCUGGUAGUCCAUGCCGUAAACGUUGGGCACUAGGUGUGGGGAACAUUCCACGUUUUCCGCGCCGUAGCUAACGCAUUAAGUGCCCCGCCUGGGGAGUACGGCCGCAAGGCUAAAACUCAAAGAAAUUGACGGGGGCCCGCACAAGCGGCGGAGCAUGCGGAUUAAUUCGAUGCAACGCGAAGAACCUUACCAAGGCUUGACAUAUACUAGACCGCCUCAGAGAUGGGGUUUCCCUUCGGGGCUGSUAUACAGGUGGUGCAUGGUUGUCGUCAGCUCGUGUCGUGAGAUGUUGGGUUAAGUCCCGCAACGAGCGCAACCCUCGUUCUAUGUUGCCAGCACGUAAUGGUGGGGACUCAUAGGAGACUGCCGGGGUUAACUCGGAGGAAGGUGGGGAUGACGUCAAAUCAUCAUGCCCCUUAUGUCUUGGGCUAUCACGCAUGCUACAAUGGCCGGUACAAAGGGUUGCGAUACUGUGAGGUUGAGCUAAUCCCAAAAAGCCGGUCUCAGUUCGGAUUGGGGUCUGCAACUCGACCCCAUGAAGUCGGAGUCGCUAGUAAUCGCAGAUCAGCAACGCUGCGGUGAAUACGUUCCCGGGCCUUGUACACACCGCCCGUCAAGUCACGAAAGUUGGUAACACCCGAAGCCGAUGGCCUAACCC
rnacentral:rRNA from 1 species